rnacentral:rRNA from 1 species
AAAUUGAAGAGUUUGAUCAUGGCUCAGAUUGAACGCUGGCGGCAGGCCUAACACAUGCAAGUCGGACGGUAGCACAGAGAGCUUGCUCUUGGGUGACGAGUGGCGGACGGGUGAGUAAUGUCUGGGGAUCUGCCCGAUAGAGGGGGAUAACCACUGGAAACGGUGGCUAAUACCGCAUAACGUCGCAAGACCAAAGAGGGGGACCUUCGGGCCUCUCACUAUCGGAUGAACCCAGAUGGGAUUAGCUAGUAGGCGGGGUAAUGGCCCACCUAGGCGACGAUCCCUAGCUGGUCUGAGAGGAUGACCAGCCACACUGGAACUGAGACACGGUCCAGACUCCUACGGGAGGCAGCAGUGGGGAAUAUUGCACAAUGGGCGCAAGCCUGAUGCAGCCAUGCCGCGUGUAUGAAGAAGGCCUUCGGGUUGUAAAGUACUUUCAGCGGGGAGGAAGGCGACGGGGUUAAUAACCCUGUCGAUUGACGUUACCCGCAGAAGAAGCACCGGCUAACUCCGUGCCAGCAGCCGCGGUAAUACGGAGGGUGCAAGCGUUAAUCGGAAUUACUGGGCGUAAAGCGCACGCAGGCGGUCUGUUAAGUCAGAUGUGAAAUCCCCGGGCUUAACCUGGGAACUGCAUUUGAAACUGGCAGGCUUGAGUCUUGUAGAGGGGGGUAGAAUUCCAGGUGUAGCGGUGAAAUGCGUAGAGAUCUGGAGGAAUACCGGUGGCGAAGGCGGCCCCCUGGACAAAGACUGACGCUCAGGUGCGAAAGCGUGGGGAGCAAACAGGAUUAGAUACCCUGGUAGUCCACGCCGUAAACGAUGGAAGCUAGCCGUUGGCAAGUUUACUUGUCGGUGGCGCAGCUAACGCAUUAAGUGCCCCGCCUGGGGAGUACGGCCGCAAGGUUAAAACUCAAAUGAAUUGACGGGGGCCCGCACAAGCGGUGGAGCAUGUGGUUUAAUUCGAUGCAACGCGAAGAACCUUACCUACUCUUGACAUCCAGCGAAUUUGGCAGAGAUGCCUUAGUGCCUUCGGGAACGCUGAGACAGGUGCUGCAUGGCUGUCGUCAGCUCGUGUUGUGAAAUGUUGGGUUAAGUCCCGCAACGAGCGCAACCCUUAUCCUUUGUUGCCAGCGAGUCAUGUCGGGAACUCAAAGGAGACUGCCGGUGAUAAACCGGAGGAAGGUGGGGAUGACGUCAAGUCAUCAUGGCCCUUACGAGUAGGGCUACACACGUGCUACAAUGGCGCAUACAAAGAGAAGCGACCUCGCGAGAGCAAGCGGACCUCACAAAGUGCGUCGUAGUCCGGAUCGGAGUCUGCAACUCGACUCCGUGAAGUCGGAAUCGCUAGUAAUCGUGGAUCAGAAUGCCACGGUGAAUACGUUCCCGGGCCUUGUACACACCGCCCGUCACACCAUGGGAGUGGGUUGCAAAAGAAGUAGGUAGCUUAACCUUCGGGAGGGCGCUUACCACUUUGUGAUUCAUGACUGGGGUGAAGUCGUAACAAGGUAACCGUAGGGGAACCUGCGGUUGGAUCACCUCCUUAC